UACAGAGGUCCCAAGCGUUGUUCGGAUUUACUGGGCGUAAAGGGUGCGUAGGUGGCGGGGUAAGUCUGGUGUGAAAGCUCCGAGCUCAACUCGGAAAAGCAUUGGAAACUAUCCCGCUGGAGGGUCGGAGGGGAGACUGGAAUUCUCGGUGUAGCAGUGAAAUGCGUAGAUAUCGAGAGGAACACCAGUGGCGAAGGCGAGUCUCUGGACGACUCCUGACACUGAGGCACGAAAGCUAGAGGAGCAAACAGG
rnacentral:rRNA from 1 species